rnacentral:rRNA from 1 species
CCUACGGGAGGCAGCAGUGAGGAAUAUUGGUCAAUGGACGCAAGUCUGAACCAGCCAUGCCGCGUGCAGGAAGAAGGCUCUAUGAGUUGUAAACUGCUUUUGUACGAGGGUAAACGCAGAUACGCGUAUCUGUCUGAAAGUAUCGUACGAAUAAGGAGCGGCUAACUCCGUGCCAGCAGCCGCGGUAAUACGGAGGAUUCAAGCGUUAUCCGGAUUUAUUGGGUUUAAAGGGUGCGUAGGCGGUAGGAUAAGUUAGAGGUGAAAUCCCGAGGCUCAACUUCGGAAUUGCCUCUGAUACUGUUGGGCUAGAGUGUAGGAGAGGUAGGCGGAAUGCAUGGUGUAGCGGUGAAAUGCGUAGAGAUCAGGCAGAACACCGGUUGCGAAGGCAGCUUACCAAGCUACUACUGACGUUGAGGCACGAAAGCGUGGGGAGCAAACAGGAUUAGAUACCCGAGUAGUC